ACAGCAGGUAACGUUAGCCUACCACUAGCUAGCAGCUGGAUUAAACAUGGUUAAAAUGCUGACAGCUAAACGGUGUAAAGUGUGACUGUAUUUCACUGUAGAGGAUCCAACAGCGGGAUGUUAAGCAGUGUGCAGCUGCCGCUGUUGGAAAAACAACGCAGACGGUGCAUUCACUUGAAACUAGUAAGCCUUGUGGUGCAUUCAAAGUUAUUGUAAAAUACCCUUUUCCCA